rnacentral:lncRNA from 1 species
AACUGAUAUGCCCUUCAUACACAGAUGUUUUUAUUUAUCCCCAAUUGAGGAAUUUGUGACAUGGUAUUAUUCAUUUUCCCUCUCUGAUAACAUAGUGGAUAAAACCCACAGUCUCAAAGGUUUCAAUUUUCCAUGAAAAUUACUGUGUGUACAUUUGUGGUUUUAUAUACACACACAUAUGGCAAAUACAUAUACACACACAAUCUUUAGUGCUAAUGCAAGUUGGAUAUGAAAAAAA